rnacentral:rRNA from 1 species
GAUGAACGCUGGCGGCGUGCCUAACACAUGCAAGUCGAGCGGAGAUAUAUUUUUAGAGAGCUUCGGCAGGAAGAAAAUAUAUUUUAGCGGCGGACGGGUGAGUAACGCGUGGGCAAUCUGCCCUCUGCACAGGGAUAACUGAGAGAAAUCUCAACUAAUACCUGAUAAGCUUCCGGGUUGGCAUCGACCAGGGAGAAAAGAUUUAUCGGCAGAGGAGGAGCCCGCGUCUGAUUAGCUAGUUGGUGGGGUAAGGGCCUACCAAGGCGACGAUCAGUAGCCGACCUGAGAGGGUGAUCGGCCACAUUGGGACUGAGACACGGCCCAAACUCCUACGGGAGGCAGCAGUGGGGAAUAUUGCACAAUGGGGGAAACCCUGAUGCAGCGACGCCGCGUGAGUGAAGACGGCCUUCGGGUUGUAAAGCUCUGUCAACGGGGACGAUAAUGACGGUACCCGUGGAGGAAGCCACGGCUAACUACGUGCCAGCAGCCGCUGUAAGAC